rnacentral:rRNA from 1 species
AUUGAACGCUGGCGGCAGGCCUAACACAUGCAAGUCGAGCGAGCGGCGGACGGGUGAGUAAUGUCUGAGAAACUCCCUGGUGGAGGGGGAUAAAUACUGGAAACGGUAGCUAAUACCGCAUACCAUCAGAUGUGCCCAGAUUGGAUUAGCUAGUAGGUGGGGUAACGGCUCACCUAGGCGACGAUCCCUAGCUGGUCUGAGAGGAUGACCAGCCACACUGGAACUGUGACACGGUCCAGACUCCUACGGGAGGCAGCAGUGGGGAAUAUUGGACAAUGGGCGAAAGCCUGAUCCAGCCAUGCCGCGUGUAUGAAGAAGGCCUUCGGGUUGUAAAGUACUUUCAGCGGGGAGGCGUUACCCGCAGAAGAAGCACCGGCUAACUCCGUGCCAGCAGCCGCGGUAAUUC